ACCUGCGAUGAAAAAGUCACAAAGUGAGACGGAAUGGAUUUCACUGAGGAAUAAUAUACGCUAACCUAAUGGGGUUCAAAUUUCCGUCACCCUGCUGUGAUUCAAAUUAUCAAUUGAAGACAAACAGAGAAAAUUUCUUCCAGGUUAUCCAUUGCAAGCUUCAACAAACGUUACUGUGACAGCCACCCACACUUUGCACAAGCAAAGCAGUCAAUCGAGAGAAGAAAGGAGACCUCAAACGGGGUUUAAAGUUGGAAAAUACCGCGGCAUUUUUAUGGCGUCAGAAUUCUUUAGGAGUGAAUUAUUCUCACGGAUACUUAGCUGAAGAUCUUCGCAUCAGAUAAGGAUCGUAGAUUGCAGGAAAGUGUUUAACAGGAAGUGGUAUAAAGUGUUUCCAGAUGUGUGUUUGAUCUCUGGGAGGGCGCACUUCUAACUGUACUGGCAACCACCCCGUUAAAAACCAAUCACGUUGUGUCGAAUCUUGCGGAUAACAUCAGAUUGAGUCAAGAGAUUUCUUAUCUGUUUACUUAUUAAACGGCUUUAUGCGUAUGCAACAAUUUUUACUGAUAGCUCACGAUUCUAACGGGAACUAUUUCAACGUGACACUUCAUUCUUCUGUCGGACAAGAACUUCUCCACGAUGGAUGAUAUACUCCCCAAACCAUAAGGGUUAUUUUGGCACAGGGUAACCAUCCUUCAGCUUUCGUGGAGCCAAGCAUGGAACGAGCUUCCAAGAUCCAUUAGAGACGCUACCUCGUUGAAUAAUUUUAAAAAUAAUUUAAUGAUACUAUUAAGGGAAUUUUUAAGAUUUCAUCCAUCCAAUUGUAUAUAAAUUUUUAGCUUUCAUUUUUAUAUUCUAGUUUUAUGUCCAUGUGGAUACUAUUGUAAGAAAUUAAUUUAUGACUAUUUUCUACAUUGUGGCUGAAAAGCCCCUAUGGGUGAGCUUCAAUAACCCAUACUUCUGAUUUUUUUCUCCUCCCCAUCACUACUCACAUAAUUCAGUUAGCCGCACUUUUCAGUGUUUGGUGGCAAAACUAUUAUUUAAUCAAGUUAAGGUAGGCCACUAAAUUAUCGCAAAUCGAAAGAAUUGCAAAAACUUCAGUGAAUCAAACAUUCAACUGCAAAUAACUUCAAAUUGAUAAAGUGGGUAAGUUUCUAAAGAAACUGUGGUGCUGCGUGGGGGGGAGGGAGGGGUAACAAGGUGAUUUGGUUAGGUCAACUACGUUGAAAUUGCAAAUUGGCCACCAUAAAGAGUUAAAAAGCUGACUUUACGAGUGCUAGCCCUUCUCGGAGCGAUUCACUCUGAUGAAGGGCAAACAC